rnacentral:rRNA from 1 species
GACGACGCUGGCGGCGUGCUUAACACAUGCAAGUCGAACGGGAGUAUUGAAGAAGCUUGCUUUAGAGAUACUUUAGUGGCGGACGGGUGAGUAACGCGUGGGCAACCUGCCCCAUACAAAGGGAUAGCCACUGGAAACGGUGAUUAAUACCUUAUAAGUCGGUAGUCUCGCAUGAGAUAGCCGACAAAGAUUUAUCGGUAUGGGAUGGGCCCGCGUCUGAUUAGCUAGUUGGUGAGGUAACGGCUCACCAAGGCGACGAUCAGUAGCCGACCUGAGAGGGUGAUCGGCCACACUGGAACUGAGACACGGUCCAGACUCCUACGGGAGGCAGCAGUGGGGAAUAUUGCACAAUGGGCGCAAGCCUGAUGCAGCAACGCCGCGUGAGUGAAGAAGGCCUUCGGGUUGUAAAACUCUGUCCUAUGGGAAGAAACAAAUGACGGUACCAUGGGAGGAAGCCCCGGCUAACUACGUG